rnacentral:misc_RNA from 1 species
GAUGAAGAACGUAGCGAAAUGCGAUAAGUAAUGUGAAUUGCAGAAUUCAGUGAAUCAUCGAAUCUUUGAACGCACAUUGCGCCCGCCAGUAUUCUGGCGGGCAUGCCUGUUCGAGCGUCAUUUCAACCAUCAAGCCCCCCGGCUUGUGUUGGGGACCUGCGGCUGCCGCAGGCCCUGAAAAGCAGUGGCGGGCUCGCUGUCACACCGAGCGUAGUAGAUCUCAUCUCGCUCAGGGCGUGCUGCGGGUUCUGGCCGUUAAACCACCUUCAUAACCCAAGGUUGACCUCGGAUCAGGUAGGAAGACCCGCUGAACUUAAGCAUAUCAAUAAGCGGAGGA